rnacentral:rRNA from 1 species
GAUGAACGCUGGCGGCGUGCCUAAUACAUGCAAGUCGAGCGAACAGAUGAGGAGCUUGCUCCUCUGACGUUAGCGGCGGACGGGUGAGUAACACGUGGAUAACCUACCUAUAAGACUGGGAUAACUUCGGGAAACCGGAGCUAAUACCGGAUAAUAUAUUGAACCGCAUGGUUCAAUAGUGAAAGACGGUUUUGCUGUCACUUAUAGAUGGAUCCGCGCCGCAUUAGCUAGUUGGUAAGGUAACGGCCUACCAAGGCAACGAUGCGUAGCCGACCUGAGAGGGUGAUCGGCCACACUGGAACUGAGACACGGUCCAGACUCCUACGGGAGGCAGCAGUAGGGAAUCUUCCGCAAAGGGCGAAAGCCUGACGGAGCAACGCCGCGUGAGUGAUGAAGGUCUUCGGAUCGUAAAACUCUGUUAUUAGGGAAGAACAAAUGUGUAAGUAACUAUGCACGUCUUGACGGUACCUAAUCAGAAAGCCACGGCUAACUACGUG